UUUUAUUUUUAUUAGGGGCAAAAUUGGAAAUCAUGGCUGAUUCCGAUUCCAACCUCUUGAUGAACCAAACAGCAUCAAUAGGAAUCUGAUUCCGAUUCCUGUUUGAACCAAACAGGUGCUACAGUCAUGACUUUAUACAAGGGUGUUAAGGGUGUUGUUGUAAUUUCACUUUUUUCGCCACAUUCUACCAAUUCUACCAAACCAGUGGCAUCAUUAGAAAAGGAUUGGAUGAAAGGCUCCCUUCUACUUAUUGUUUCCGGUUUUUCACAAGCAGCCUUCUAUAUAUUACAGGCUGCAACAAUUAAGAAAUAUUCAGCUCCAAUCUUGCUUACAUCAAUGAUAUGCUUAAUGGGAACAAUACAAGCAGUAGUAGUAACAGUGAUUUUAGAUCGUAAAGCUUCAUCAUGAAGGUUGAGUUGGGAUAUUAAGUUGCUGGCCCCUAUUUAUUGUGUAAGAUUCUUUUGCUUUAUGUAGUUUUAUUUUCAGGUUUCAAUUUGUAGGUAUGAAUUAGAAAAGGAUAUACCUUGGCUGGCUUCUUGAAAGAAAUAAGUCUUAGAAGCACUUAUUUGA